rnacentral:rRNA from 1 species
UACGUAGGGCGCAAGCGUUGUCCGGAAUUAUUGGGCGUAAAGCGCACGUAGGCGGCUCUGCAAGUCGGAUGUGAAAUCCCUCGGCUCAACCAAGGAAGUGCAUCCGAAACUGCGGAGCUUGAGUACUUAAGAGGAUCGCGGAAUUCCCGGUGUAGAGGUGAAAUUCGUAGAUAUCGGGAGGAACACCAGUGGCGAAGGCGGCGAUCUGGGAAGAUACUGACGCUGAGGUGCGAAAGCGUGGGGAGCAAACAGG